ensembl:lncRNA
CUCUUUUCAACCAACAGCAGUCACUCUCCAAAUAACUUCUGCUUAGCUUUCCGAGCUUCCCUUGGGUCCUCUUAAUCAGCGGUCUCCACCCUUUUUUGCGCCACGGACCGGUUUAUGCCCGACAAUAUUUUCACGGACCGGCCUUUAAGGUGUCGCGGAUAAAUGAGGGAGGGGCUAAUAAUCGGCUCAGUCAUUUUUAAUGAUCGUUGAAAGCCCAGAUCGUAAUCGUGAUUAAAAUUCGAUUAAUUGAGCAGCCCUAUCCUAGAUUUCUUCUCUGAAACAGUAAUAUUUAAGUGACUGCUGCUUGUACCACAGGUUAAUACACGCUACUGAUCCCUGAUAGGAGAAUCAUCAAUUUUGGCAACAAAGAAGCCUGGUGGAUGUUUGUUUACAGUCUGAUGAUGGGACAUCAUGCUCUGCAUCGUCAAAGUUUGCCUCCUCAUUAUUAUUCAUACCCAGUAAUGUGAAGUAUGCUUAUAUCUACUAUAACUGAACCAACCUGGUGCUCUUCAUUUAUGGAGGCUGUUGAGUCUGAAUGUUGGAUGUUGUGUAUCUCGUGUUCUCUGGGCUUUGUUGUCCUCAGUCUUUUCGCAGGAUCAGAAAACAAAACCAGGAGGCGCGUAAAUGUUUCUUCUCCAUGAUGUUUCUUCAAAUGUUUCUUCUGGAUGAUGAUAAGACUAUGACACAGGAUGCCACCUUUGGUCUUAUGGUGAAGCAAAGCUCAGGAAGAAGUGGGAUUAAAUGGUACCCACAUGUGUGCUGCUGAGAAGGAUGUACAGGGGCACCUGCAGCCAAAUCCAAGCCUCAGAUCUAAAGUAUCCUAAGUUGAGCUCUGAUGUUUCUUCACCCCUGUGUGUGAUAUGAGAUUCCUACAUGCUGGCAGAGCGGCAGUUUGUGCUCACAGAUGGUGACGGUGUGGAGAGAUGGUGGUGUUUCCUCAGAAGAACCAGCAGAGUCACUCGCUGACUGAUGCUCAUCUGCGCUGCACAGAGGAAAUCAACUGACCGAGGUUUGUCCAGUGACGUGUUAUGAAUGUAUAUUUGUUUUAUGCUUACAGAUGUGUUUUUCUUGACAGAGGCUCUGCAGAGGUUAGACAAAGCAGAGAAAACAUGUGCUUUACAUUUUACUGUGAUUUAUUGAGAUAUUUGUUGCCUGAUGUUCAGCAGGAAUGGAGAAAUAGAAUCAAAGGGAGAUGUUUUUGAUGUUUUUGUAAUGAUGUAAGUAAAUCUUCAAUAUUAUUUAUUUGCUUGGUUAUAUUAGGAGUGUUUCUGAGUGAGGGGGAGAGGAGUCAUCAUCCAGGUAAAGUGACGUAGAUCAGUGGAUACACUUGUCUCCCCUUUAAAGGAGACGAUCCAAGUCAUCCUUAAAUGUUAGUGCUUUCAAAUACACAAACAUUUUUAAAGGACAAAAAUGAACAUCCAACUUUGACUGUAACACAAAAUAAAUCUUUGCAUGUGUGUUUUCAAACUCUCAGAUGGGCAGCAUAUCAGUCUUGGACUGUCUAACCUGCCGGAGCAGCACUGAAUGACCACCACACAUGAGCAUGUUCCUGCAACAUUCAGCAUCUGAUCCUUCAUCUGUGUGCUUCUGCUUUUGUGUCACAUGUCAAACAGCUGGAGAGGAAACUACACCAGCAUACUGGGAUGUUUCAGCAACACGUGCCAGAUGCUGUUCCUUCAUGGUGACAUCACCAGAGACAGCCCCACCCACCUGAGGACCUCGCCAUUGAUCAUGAUGAUUAUAAUGAUGACAGCGAGCGGAACUAAGACUGUAAAAAUCCACGACCAGAAUUUUUCUUUCUAAUUAUUAAUGAAUACUAAGAGCCUCUUUCUGUGUUUUGUAUGUUUUGGGGUUGUUUUUUUUUUACCUCAUUUGUUACUAACAAAGUUCACCAAACUCACACAGUUUACAUUCUGUAUGUUUCCAUCUUUACCAGCCACACUCUAAUUGCAUUUAAGAAAAUAAUCCUUAGAAAUUGUCGUUUUUCUCUUUUGUAAUUGAUGAUAAUUCAGUGAAUAUACUGCACUGCUUCCUUCUAUUGCGUCACACAUUGCUUUAAGUUUUUCAGUGUCCAGUUAUUUUUUACUGCUGUUUGAAUUCUCUGUAUGUUUGACCC